CACGCUUGAACUGAAUCACCCGGGUAGGAUUGCUAUACUGGGAGAAGAGCAAGCGCUUGCCUGACUGAAAUGUGAAGCCGGAAGGUAUAUAUCUGUUUGAUGUCUUCCAGAAGUGGUAUCCGUAUCAAACCGGAGAUGUUUUAGCUGUAAGAAUAUUAAGAAGUGAAACUCUGGUCUGAAUCAGUCGCCGGAAAAUACACUCCAACUCGAUCUCAAGCUCCUCAACAGUGAUCUCUGCAGCCUCCAACCUUGUACUUGCGCUCCGCAUCGCUACUUCGUCCCACGCAUCAUCAAAGCAGCAAAACUGCAUCGUAAAGAUAGAAGAAAAUGACCCUAUGCUCGGUUUUCUCUCGAGCCAAGGAACACAUACGAGUGAGAACAGAGACUCAACCAUAGUCACAACGGCUCUUCUCACUUCUUUCAAAACCUCAGCAACAAACAGAAGGUUCUGCUCUAUGCUCUGCAUCUCCAUCAUCCCUCUCCCUCCUCCUUCAAUACUCUUUAGACUAUUUAAACACUUGAGCGUUUCCUUCUUGAGCUUGUUCCUAUACCGAUUAUACGCUGCAACCUUUUCACUAAGGUUUGAUCCAUUACAGCGCAGAGUCAGUUGAAGAUCUUGCAGGCCAUGUCUCACGAGUGCCAUGACAUCUUUCGACACAUUACAGACAUCUAACAUUAUUAGUGAAGCUUCAGAGACUUGCUCGAUCCAGUUCUCUUUCCCUUGUUGGCACAGAGACUCUCUUGCUUCUGGACAGUGAUCGAGAAGAUAGUUUGCGCAGUCUUGUAGUUCUCUCAAACCUUCCAAGUCCAGUAGCGCCAUUCGGUUGAAACCUCAAAAGGGUAUUGCUUGAUGAGAACUUGAUGAGAGAUUUGUGAUUAGGGUUUAGUGAAAUCUUAGGGUUACGUCCAUAAAUAGGGAUUGUUUGAAUUGGAGUUGAAGAUGGAUCUGAGAAGAAUGAGGAAAGUACGAAGAAGGAACCCUGAGGUUAGUUUUUUCCUUUUCUUUGCGAGGUGUUUUUUUUUUGUACAUAAGUGAAGACAUUAGUGUUGGAGACAGGUCAUUUAGUUUUCAAAUUCAAACUAGUUGAAGUUAGUGGUAUUUAGGAACCUUCCGUUUAUGUAAGUGGCACUAGAUUAGGCUACAUUAUGGAUUUGCUUCGAUAUUAUUGUCUACAUAACAAAACAAAAUACAAUUUUAAUUUAAAUUAUAAUCGGAUACCUUUAUCAGAAACCAUGCAUGAACCAAGCCAGCCAGUGUUUGUAAUUAUCUGAAUAAAACGGAAGAAUUAUUUAUUUAUAUCUGAAAUGUUC